rnacentral:rRNA from 1 species
UUACGGGGAGGCAACCAGUGGGGGAAUAUGGCACAAAUGGGCGGAAAGCCUUAAUGCAAGCGACGCCCGCUUGAAGGGAUGACGGCCUUUCGGGUUUGUAAACCUUCUUUCAGCACGGGAAGAAGCGUAAAGUGACGGGUACGUGCAGAAGAAGCGCCGGCUAACUACGUGCCAGCAGCCGCGGUAAUACGUAGGGCGCAAGCGUUGUCCGGAAUUAUUGGGCGUAAAGAGCUCGUAGGCGGUUUGUCGCGUCUGCUGUGAAAGCCCGGGGCUUAACCCCGGGUGUGCAGUGGGUAUGGGCAGACUUGAGUGCAGUAGGGGAGACUGGAAUUCCUGGUGUAGCGGUGAAAUGCGCAGAUAUCAGGAGGAACACCGAUGGCGAAGGCAGGUCUCUGGGCUGUUACUGACGCUGAGGAGCGAAAGCAUGGGGAGCGAACAGGAUUAGAUACCCUGGUAGUCCAUGCCGUAAACGUUGGGCACUAGGUGUGGGGAACAUUCCACGUUUUCCGCGCCGUAGCUAACGCAUUAAGUGCCCCGCCUGGGGAGUACGGCCGCAAGGCUAAAACUCAAAGGAAUUGACGGGGGCCCGCACAAGCGGCGGAGCAUGCGGAUUAAUUCGAUGCAACGCGAAGAACCUUACCAAGGCUUGACAUACACCGGACCGGGCCAGAGAUGGUCUUUCCCCCUUGUGGGGCUGGUGUACAGGUGGUGCAUGGUUGUCGUCAGCUCGUGUCGUGAGAUGUUGGGUUAAGUCCCGCAACGAGCGCAACCCUCGUUCUAUGUUGCCAGCACGUGAUGGUGGGGACUCAUAGGAGACUGCCGGGGUCAACUCGGAGGAAGGUGGGGAUGACGUCAAAUCAUCAUGCCCCUUAUGUCUUGGGCUUCACGCAUGCUACAAUGGCCAGUACAAUGGGUUGCGAUGCCGCGAGGUGGAGCUAAUCCCAAAAAGCUGGUCUCAGUUCGGAUCGUGGUCUGCAACUCGACCACGUGAAGUCGGAGUCGC